CCUUCCCCCUCCCCCGGGUGCUGGCCUGAGGAGUUUGAGGUGUCGCAGGAGCAAGGCUGGUGGUGGUGGUGGUAAGGGGGAGGCGGGGCCAUGAAACUCUGGCGGCUAACGAGCCGCGAAUGGUCCAAGGACAGCAACACCACCGUCAACACAAAGGACUUUAAGUCGAAGGAGCCGGAACUGCAGUGCGAGUUUGGAAAGCUGGUUGGUGCCUGCCUGAAACUACUGGUCUGAUUAUGCCUUCAAGCAGCAGUGAUGAAAUGAUGGCACCUGCAGGGCUACCUUUGCAUCCAGCCCUGUAGAACCUCUCUUGCUUCUCCUAUGAAGGUGGAACGAAGUGAAAGCUGUGGAGGGUGCGUGGCCUGGAGCUUCCUGUCAUCCUGACUGAAGAAGCAACAGUCAAAGGAGUAACAUUUUUGUAAUGGAUGAUUCUUGUUUCAACUGAAAAAUCACAGGAAAAAGACCACAAUGGGAUGAAAAAGACCACAAUGGGAUGAAAAUGCUCAAACUUGCUCCUGCUAAGUAAAAUGAGGGGGGAAAAAAAGGGCGAGUGUUACUGCUAACUAUAUUUUUUUAAAAAUCAAAUAAAAUGACAUCUUCGCUGCGAAACUUUCAACUUCUUUGGAUUAUUUAAACAUACAAAAAGUAAACUAAAUGAC